UACAGAGGGUGCAACCGUUGCUCGGAAUCAUUGGGCGUAAAGCGCACGUAGGCGGCCCAGCAAGUGGGGAGUGAAAGCCCUCGGCUUAACCGAGGAAGUGCUUUCCAAACUACUGGGCUUGAAUACUGGAGAGGGUCGCGGAAUUCCCGGUGUAGAGGUGAAAUUCGUAGAUAUCUGGAGGAACACCGGUGGCGAAGGCGGCAUCCUGGACCGGUAUUGACGCUGAGGCGCGAAGGCUAGGGGAGCAAACGGG
rnacentral:rRNA from 1 species